rnacentral:ribozyme from 1 species
AAAGAAAAGAAAAGGCACAGUUCAGGUACCAGGUACGUUCUAUUCUCUUACAUCUUUUUUUUUUACUCCGUUUUUGUGAUUUGUUUGUUUUGUGUUACCUUUUGUUCUUGUGAUU